rnacentral:piRNA from 1 species
UGAUGUGUCUGAAGACAGCAACAGUG